UGUAACCCAUUGAGUUAGUAACGAUUUUCGUUCCUCGGCUCGUGCCUAGUUCACCUCAGUCUAGGACGACUUACUAUAUCUCGUACAUGGCCGACUAAUCUCAGAUCAUUUGAGAUCAAUGCACGCUCCAUGAUCUCUAGAAUCCUGGCUACGGACGAUCUAUUAUAGCUCGUCCAUAGCCGAGCUAAGCUCCUUGCCACC
rnacentral:lncRNA from 1 species